GCUUGUGACUACGCGUUCGAAAGUCAGGUACCUGAAGUAGCGCGCGGAAGGCUCGAACCUUGGGCCUCCAUUCACCGAUGGACCGCAACAGGCCGUCGUCGUCGGAGAGCAGCGACGGGCCGCCGCCAUCGUGGAAGCGACGAGCCCGCUGCGGAGGGCCAGAGCGACAGUCAAUGGAGGACCGCUGCUAGCCCGACACUUCAGCCGCUCGCCAGCACCGGCGGGACGACACCGGCGCCGCCGGAGCUCAACAAGGCGAGACAGCGGCCACUUCGAGCCUGGCCACGCUGCGAGGAGAGAAGAGGCCCGUCACCGUGCACGCGAGUCGCAUUUUUGCAUGGAGCGAGCUCGAGAUGGAAUGAAGACUCGAGUGGAAACCGUUGGACGUCGGCUCAUCGCCUACUGGACAAAAGAAAAGGACGCCGCACACACAAAACAUACCGUAGUUCAAGCCAUAAAGCAAUAUUUCCAGCCUUCUGUGCGGUUCGUUCGGGAGAGCUUAGGUAGUUUAGCGACUCUGGUUGAAGUCGAGACAGUGCCCAGUGGCCGAUGGUACAACCACCCGCGGCGAAGGAAACUGCGAAUUAAGUGUGCUGAAGGUGUCAGCAUUGCUGCCUGCGGGGCUGGUGGGCUUUUAGGUUGAGAUGAAGGGCAUGAUAGGGAAAAUUGACAAAGGGGGAAGGAAGGAAUACAUCAAGUAGAAAGCGAUGAUAACAAGGUACUAACAAAAGUGAAAAUCUAAUCGAGAGUUUAAAUUUUUGUGUAAAUUUCUCCUCUUCAGUUUGGCACUAAAGUAUGUAUACAGCAUGACGGCCGCAGGCAGUUAUGGUACUUAUACAGGAUAACAAAAACGAGCAAAAAAGCUCUGCAACCCUACGGUGUCAUCUGUUAGUGUGCGGCCCAGCCACCAGUUAAUUGUACUUCAUCAGGUGCUCUGGAGUGCAUAGAGAACAACCAGGCAUCUUUUGGAGUGCAAAUGAUAAGUGGCGAGAAUACUACGAGACUUCACUGAAGACGUCAUCGCAGCUCCAGAUGCGAUGUGGUCCGUCCGUCAGCGAUGACUAACGCCGAAUCACCAAUGCAAGUGCACGAUUUGAGUGAGUAAGAGACGCCGUCCUUUUCCUAUUCCUCCAGCAUGUUUUACCAGUCUCACUGGACGUACGUGUAGCGUGACACAGGUGAUGUUGUAACUUCUUGUUUCUCUUUUUCUGUCACCUCGGCCCGGAUCGAGGCGCAAUAAAGUUCUUUCUCUCUCUCUUUGUCUCUCUACUUUCAUUUGUUUAUUUGUUUAUAUAUUUAUUUACUCUCUUCUUUCUCUUUCUUUUCUUUUUUCUUGCGAGUACCUUCGAGCUGUCUUGGUAGCGGCAACUUGUGUCUUGUAAUAAUAUGUACCGCAAGCACGUCAUUCAAGCUCCUCAAGCAGGUUUGCAGAUGCAAGCUCACUUAGGUCCUCCAGUUAGCACCCGGCACGAGGCGACCUGGCUUCUUGGAUUCGAACCUACAACCCCGGAUGCAGCGGCGUGACCCUUGGACAGCAAACCGACAAGGGGGACACAGGACAACUAUGAACGGGCAGAGCCAAUGGUUCCUUGUAGGGAAAAGUCCUUAUAUACGAAGUUUAUUUCACUAGUUGACCACAACUCACCAUUUUCUCUCUCUCAUACGCUUAUUUGUUCUGUAAGUCAAACGAUUUAUCAACGUAUGUACGCUACCUUUUGCAAUAAACUCUUCAUUGAUUA